rnacentral:rRNA from 1 species
CUGGGAGACGGGUGAGUACAUGUUGGUAUCUGCCCUUUGGCCGUGGGAAAUACACGAGGAAAGUUGUGCUAAUAUCGGGAUAUAGUCUUUACGGAGAAAGCUUUAUGCACCAGUGGAUGAGCCCGCACUUGAUUAGUUUGUUGGGGGGGUAAUGGCCUACCGAGACUGUGAUCGAUAGGUGUGUUGAGAGGAUGAUCAGCCACGUUGUGACUGAGACACGGCCCAAACUACUACGGGAGGCAGCAGUGGGGAAUCUUGCACAAUGGAGGAAACUCUGAUGCAGCGAUGCCGCGUGAGUGAAGAAGGCCCUUGGGUUGUAAAGCUCUUUCGUCGGGGAAGAAAAUGACUGUACCCGAAUAAGAAGGUCCGGCUAACUUCGUGCCACGCAGCCGCGGUAAUACGAAGGGACCUAGCGUAGUUCGGAAUUACUGGGGCUUAAAGAGUUCGUAGGUGGCUGACAAAGUUAGUGGUGACAAUCCCAGAGCUUAACUCUGGAACUGCCAUUAAAACUUAUACAGCUAGAGUAUGAUAGACCGAAGCCACAAUUCCUAGUUGUGAGGGUGGAAUCCGUGAUAUUCUGAAGAAUACAAUGGGAAGGCGCUUCUGGAUCUUACGUAGCUGAGGACGAAGCCUUGGUGGGACGGGAUUACUACCAC